UGCGUAGGCGGUUUGGUAAGUCUUGUGUGAAAUCUCCAGGCUCAACUUGGAGUCUGCACGAGAAACUGCCGGGCUUGAGUGUGGAGAGGUGAGUGGAAUUCCUGGUGUAGCGGUGAAAUGCGUAGAUAUCAGGAGGAACACCUGUGGCGAAAGCGGCUCACUGGACCACAACUGACGCUGAUGCACGAAAGCUAGGGGAGCAAACAGGAUUAGAUACCCUGGUAGUCCUAGCCCUAAACGAUGACUGCUUGGUGUGACGGGUACCCAAUCCCGCCGUGCCGUAGCUAACGCGUUAGGCAGUCCGCCUGGGGAGUCGGUCGCAAGGCUGAA
rnacentral:rRNA from 1 species